GUGGGGAAUAUUGCGCAAUGGGGGCAACCCUGACGCAGCAAUACCGCGUGAGUGAAGAAGGUUUUCGGAUCGUAAAGCUCUGUUAUUGGGGAAGAAGAAGUGACGGUACCCAAUGAGGAAGUCCCGGCUAACUACGUGCCAGCAGCCGCGGUAAUACGUAGGGGACAAGCGUUGUCCGGAAUCACUGGGCGUAAAGGGCGCGUAGGCGGUUUUUUAAGUCAGAUGUGAAAGGUACCGGCUCAACCGGUGACGUGCAUUUGAAACUGAAAGACUUGAGUACUGGAGAGGCAAGUGGAAUUCCUAGUGUAGCGGUGAAAUGCGUAGAUAUUAGGAGGAACACCGGUGGCGAAGGCGGCUCACUGGCUCGAUACUGACGCUGAGGUGCGAAAGCGUGGGGAGCAAACAGGAUUAGAUACCCCAGUAGUCC
rnacentral:rRNA from 1 species